rnacentral:rRNA from 1 species
GGGUAGUUUGACUGGGGCGGUCUCCUCCUAAAGAGUAACGGAGGAGCACGAAGGUUGGCUAAUCCUGGUCGGACAUCAGGAGGUUAGUGCAAUGGCAUAAGCCAGCUUGACUGCGAGCGUGACGGCGCGAGCAGGUGCGAAAGCAGGUCAUAGUGAUCCGGUGGUUCUGAAUGGAAGGGCCAUCGCUCAACGGAUAAAAGGUACUCCGGGGAUAACAGGCUGAUACCGCCCAAGAGUUCAUAUCGACGGCGGUGUUUGGCACCUCGAUGUCGGCUCAUCACAUCCUGGGGCUGAAGUAGGUCCCAAGGGUAUGGCUGUUCGCCAUUUAAAGUGGUACGCGAGCUGGGUUUAGAACGUCGUGAGACAGUUCGGUCCCUAUCUGCCGUGGGCGCUGGAGAACUGAGGGGGGCUGCUCCUAGUACGAGAGGACCGGAGUGGACGCAUCACUGGUGUUCGGGUUGUCAUGCCAAUGGCACUGCCCGGUAGCUAAAUGCGGAAGAGAUAAGUGCUGAAAGCAUCUAAGCACGAAACUUGCCCCGAGAUGAGUUCUCCCUGACUCCUUGAGAGUCCUGAAGGAACGUUGAAGACGACGACGUUGAUAGGCCGGGUGUGUAAGCGCAGCGAUGCGUUGAGCUAACCGGUACUAAUGAACCGUGAGGC